GGCACUGUGGCUUAGUAGGUUAAGCCUCUGCCUGUGGCAUCAGCAUCCCAUAUGGGUGCAGGUUCGAGUCCUGUCUGCUCCA
rnacentral:tRNA from 1 species